AUUGAACGCUGGCGGCAUGCUUUACACAUGCAAGUCGAACGGUAACAGGCCUUCGGGUGCUGACGAGUGGCGCACGGGUGAGUAAUGCAUCGGAACGUACCCAGAGGUGGGGGAUAACGCAGCGAAAGCUGUGCUAAUACCGCAUGUGAUCUGAGGAUGAAAGCGGGGGACCGAGCAGCAAUGUUUGGCCUCGCGCCUUUGGAGCGGCCGAUGUCGGAUUAGCUAGUUGGUGGGGUAAAGGCCUACCAAGGCGACGAUCCGUAGCUGGUCUGAGAGGACGACCAGCCACACUGGGACUGAGACACGGCCCAGACUCCUACGGGAGGCAGCAGUGGGGAAUUUUGGACAAUGGGCGCAAGCCUGAUCCAGCAAUGCCGCGUGCGGGAAGAAGGCCUUCGGGUUGUAAACCGCUUUUGGCAGGAACGAAGCGGUGUCCGCUAAUACCGGGCGCUAAUGACGGUACCUGCAGAAUAAGCACCGGCUAACUACGUG
rnacentral:rRNA from 1 species